rnacentral:rRNA from 1 species
CAAUAGCGUAUAUUAAAGUUGUUGCGGUUAAAAAGCUCGUAGUUGGAUUUCUGUUGAGAGCAGCGCGUCUACCUUUUGGGUAAGUAUGUUGCUUGGUCUCGGCAUCUUCGUGGAAAACGUUUCUGCGCUUGAUUGCGUGGGGCGGGGUUCACGACUUUUACUUUGAGGAAAUUAGAGUGUUCACGGCAGGCAUACGCCUUGAAUAUAUUAGCAUGGAAUAAUAACAUAGGGCUUACGGCCUAUUUUGUUGGUUUCUAGGCUGCAGGCAAUGAUUAAUAGGGACAAUUGGGGGCAUUCGUAUUAACGCGUCAGAGGUGAAAUUCUUGGAUUGCGUUACGACGAACUACUGCGAAAGCACUUGCCAAGGAUGUUUUCAUUGA